rnacentral:rRNA from 1 species
UGGGGAAUAUUGCACAAUGGGGGAAACCCUGAUGCAGCCAUGCCGCGUGUGUGAAGAAGGCCUUCGGGUUGUAAAGCACUUUCAGCAGUGAGGAAGGUAGUGUAGUUAAUAACUGCAUUGCUUGACGUUAGCUGCAGAAGAAGCACCGGCUAACUCCGUGCCAGCAGCCGCGGUAAUACGGAGGGUGCGAGCGUUAAUCGGAAUUACUGGGCGUAAAGCGCAUGCAGGUGGUGGAUUAAGUCAGAUGUGAAAGCCCGGGGCUCAACCUCGGAAGGUCAUUUGAAACUGAUUCACUAGAGUACUGUAGAGGGGGGUAGAAUUUCAGGUGUAGCGGUGAAAUGCGUAGAGAUCUGAAGGAAUACCAGUGGCGAAGGCGGCCCCCUGGACAGAUACUGACACUCAGAUGCGAAAGCGUGGGGAGCAAACAGG